rnacentral:lncRNA from 1 species
GUAGCAUUUUGAAGUUGUUUCUAUGCUGUUUAUUGAUGUCUCCUAUCAGCAUGUUGUUGGGUUGUCAUUCAGUAGAAUGUUCUACAAGUGCUUCUGAUUUUUUUCUAAGCGAUGAAGUUAUUCCAUUGACGUGACAUUCUAUUGAGUACUGUUGUUGUUCUGAAACAAAACCUUAAGGCUGUUUUUGAACUGAAAUGAUUGGCAAACGAUAUCAUAUGUGUGAGAUCUUUGCAGUAUCACUGUCAUCCCAGACCUUGACCCCUUAGGUUCUGCUGCGGUCACACAGAUGCUGUUGGAAGCCAGAGAAGGUUCUAGAAGCCAGCGUAGGUUCUAGAUUCAGGAACAGGAACCUGUGAGUUUGUCCCUCACGUAAAGGAGACUACUCUGAGGCAUCCUUUGAGGCUGAUGAUCAAGGUGUAGGUGACCAUUCGAGAGCGCGCUCCAGAUAAGGUAAACAACCAAACAAACAAAAGCAAAGCAAUGAAAUACAGAAUUGUGUGAUUUGCUCAAGUUAACAUACUGUUUGCUAGUUAGGGCUGUAUUUUUAGUCCAGGUUUCCCUCGUCUCGUUAUAUAAAAAGUUAAGGUUAACAUGUCGUAGAAUUACUGCAAGUUGUCUAACUGAACUGAUGUCUAGUGUUUCUCCACAUGUUUUCAUGAUGAUUCUAUUGAUUGCCUUCCUUUGUCCACUCACCCGCUGGUUGUGUCCCAAAUAGAACCCUAUUCCAUAUAGUGCCCUGUAGGCUCUGGUCAAAAAGUAGUGUACUAGAAAGGCCAUAGGGUUCCAUUUGGGAUGCUACAACUGUCAUAACUAGGCCUUGUUGCAUAGUUGAAUCACCAAUGCUUGACAUCAGGAUUCUAAAGUGCCCCCAUUUUUGGUUGCAUAUGCUCCUAGAUAUUUUGUUGUGGACCUGACGGGUUUUAUUUUGGGUGUACCGGUGUGACCAGGGAAAUAAUUACCCAAAUAAUAGUUGUUUUAUUUAACUUAGCAAGACAGUUAAGAACAAAUUCUUAUUUACAAUGUCAGCCUAACCCGGAUGAUGCUGGGCCAAUUGUGCGCCGCCCUAUGGGACUCCCAGGUUGUGAUACAACCUGGAAUCGAACCAGGGUCUGUAAGUGACGUCUCUAGCGCUGAGAUGCAGUGCCUUUGUUCGCUGCACCCCUCGGGAGCCCUAAAUUGGCCAGUUGGUGGGGAUUCACUGGUCAGUUGUUUCAGAGUGCCCUGGAGGAGAAAGCGAGCGCAGAUUCAUUCAAUCUAAAGCCUACGUGUAAAGAAUACAUCAGUGAUUUCUAUUUCUUACAAAUUUCUGAAGACCUAACGGCAUGGCUGUCGGCUGCUUUGUGUAGCCAGGAAGUGAUGCCCAAAUAGUAAUUUCUAAAAGCUUUCCCCAAUAACUUUCCAAAUUAAAUGUUAACUGCAGCGUAGGCUUAACCGGCAUCGUGAUAUAAUGUCAAGGUCUUUUUGUUUUGCGAACUCUGCUAUUGUAUACAGUACAGAAACGCCGCCAGCCAAAACCCCUUUUUGAAGGUGCGCAAUUGAAAUUAAAGGUAAACUAUAUAUAUAUAUAGUUUACCUUUAUAUAUGUAUUUUCUUCCCCAGACCUCUUAAGUGGGCUCCUGAUCUACUGUAAGCAUUGCUGUGGACUUAGAAAAUUCUAUUUAUUUUUGUGAUUGAGUGAACCUUAUAAAAUCAAAAGGGGGGAGGAAAUCCCUCACCUGGAAUAACUAAACCAAGAGUUAAAGAUUUUGGUGUUACGGCAAAUUUUAUUGGCUGGUAAAAUAAAAAAAUAUAUAGCUGUCAGUGGCUGGUAGAUUUUUAUUUUUCUGUGGACAACUUUUUUUUUUUUUUUAAGGCCCUGUUCAUAAACCAGAUCGUGGGUCGUUCCAAAGCUGCUCUCUGGCAAUUUUAUUUUAUUUUUUUUUACAUUUUUGUUCAGUCAUGUUACCUCAACCUAGCUAGCUAACAACCUGGUUACUUUACCAGUAUAUCAAACAUCGGAGGGCACAGAGGGAGAGGAAGGGAUAGUUUCUUCAGGAGAUCAAUGAUCAUCGAACGAAUGAGUGACUUGCAUGUCUCAUCACGAACUUGAUGCUCUUAAAGAGACGGUGUAGAAUUUUCAAUAAUCUCAUUAGGUAGAAACCUAGUAUUCCAUAAAUGACUAAUUUCAAUGGAAGGUUUUUCAAUCAACAUUUUUUUUUUUUUAAAUCUUUCUCCAGGGUUUAAUAUUAGUUUCUAGAGCUCAACAUGUGCUUCAAAAGUAGCUAGAAUUUAAUUUAAGUCCCUUUUUUUUUUUAUGCUACCUCAAACAAAAUAUAAAAUAUUCUGGUGCUCCUAGAUACAUUUUGUUGCACCUAGCCUAACUUUAAGUUAGGCGCACCAGUGCUCCCACUGUUAAUUUAGACCCCUGCUGGAGAUGGUUCGAUGAGAAGUAACCAGGAACUGCUUCUAUUGUGUUUUUCAACCAUUAUGGCAGGAAAUUGUAGUUGGUUACUUUCUAGUUUCCACAUUCAUUAGAACCCAAAUGUCCCCUUUUUCUUUACUUUUUUCUUAGAACCCACAUACCUCUCUCUGCUAGUGAUUUGCUAUUUUUUGCAUUCUUUCAUUAAUUAGUGUAAUCUGUGUGUUAGAUGCUCUUUCAUCUCUGAGCAAAGUGUUUCAAAGCGUUUGGGGGGGGGGUGUAGAAGACUAAAUCAGAAGGGACAAAUAUGGAGCAUGCCUUUUAGAGGUAAACAAAUUUAAACAUGUUUCUUGUGAUGCCUUAAUAUUAUCAAAUGUAUUUUGUUUUUGUUUUGUUUCCUGUCUUUUAUGAAAUUACUGUAUCUUUGUUGCCCUGUCCAGUAAUAAAGUUGUAACAUUUA